rnacentral:rRNA from 1 species
GACGAACGCUGGCGGCGUGCCUAAUACAUGCAAGUAGAACGCUGAAGAGAGGAGCUUACUCUUCUUGGAUGAGUUGCGAACGGGUGAGUAACGCGUAGGUAACCUGCCUUGUAGCGGGGGAUAACUAUUGGAAACGAUAGCUAAUACCGCAUAACAAUGGAUGACACAUGUCAUUUAUUUGAAAGGGGCAAUUGCUCCACUACAAGAUGGACCUGCGUUGUAUUAGCUAGUAGGUGAGGUAAUGGCUCACCUAGGCGACGAUACAUAGCCGACCUGAGAGGGUGAUCGGCCACACUGGGACUGAGACACGGCCCAGACUCCUACGGGAGGCAGCAGUAGGGAAUCUUCGGCAAUGGGGGCAACCCCGACCGAGCAACGCCGCGUGAGUGAAGAAGGUUUUCGGAUCGUAAAGCUCUGUUGUAAGUCAAGAACGGGUGUGAGAGUGGAAAGUUCACACUGUGACGGUAGCUUACCAGAAAGGGACGGCUAACUACGUG